rnacentral:rRNA from 1 species
UACGGAGGGUGCAAGCGUUAUCCGGAUUCACUGGGUUUAAAGGGUGCGUAGGUGGGUUGGUAAGUCGGUGGUGAAAUCCCCGAGCUUAACUUGGGAACUGCCAUUGAUACUAUUAAUCUUGAAUACCGUGGAGGUUAGCGGAAUAUGUCAUGUAGCGGUGAAAUGCUUAGAUAUGACAUAGAACACCAAUUGCGAAGGCAGCUGGCUACACGAAUAUUGACACUGAUGCACGAAAGCGUGGGGAUCAAACAGG